rnacentral:tRNA from 1 species
GGGCCUAUAGCUCAGUUGGCUAGAGCGCACCCCUGAUAAGGGUGAGGUGCUCCGUUCGAAUCGGAGUAGGCCCA